CAAGAGCCUCAAGGUCAAGCACCAAGCCUUCCCUCAUGAUGGUUCAACAGGACUGAAGUGGCCCACUCCAGCCAGCCUGCCUGUCACAAAUAACCACUACAGGGCUGGAGCCAAGUGUGCAACUGGAUGUGUAAGAUCAACAGGCUACAACAACCAGCUCCAGUUCAACAAGGAUAUACAAAACUACACCUGACCACUCACCUGAGAUGGACACUGCUAUAAGGACUCUGAGGCUUGAGACUAGCAAGAAGGGGAAGCCCAAUGCCCCUUGCCAUUCCAGCUCAGCAGGAGGUAGCCAGAGAGACCUCAACUCUCCUACUUCCAAAGAAUUGGGCCUCCCAUCUCUUGAGGGGGGAAUGUUAAGUAGUUAGAAUAGGAAAAAAGAGU